rnacentral:rRNA from 1 species
AUGUUCUACUUGAGAGAUGAUGUCCCCGUAUCCAUUGGGCAUGCUGUUGAUGAUGCCAUGGCGGCACACUUGGUUGGGAAUGUCAAAUUCAGUGUUAUGACAUGGACGUAUGACAUCAUCGACAUGGUUGAGGAUGAUCUGGUCACGUCUGCAAGAAAUUCCAUGCUGUUCUUUGAUGCCUGUCCAAGUGCAUUUGGUGGUCUCACUGCUUUCGACCUCAAGAAUUUGAGAUUUGGUGAAUCAUACAUACCCAAUGUCCUCAACACUUGCAAGCGGUUGAAGCGUCUGUGUUUGUACAAUUGCGACUCUGGUGAUUGCAUCACAUUGCCAGUUGAACAUUCUCAUCUCAGUGAGCUUAGUAUUGUCCACUGUAGUCUCGAACGAGUUAUGCUGAACUGGAUCCCUCAACUCACAAGGAUGGUCUUUGAAGGCUGGCUGCAAUUCCAAGAUCCACCGUUCAUUGGUCAUGCCCCAUUGCUGGAGGCUGUAAGCCUCACAAAUCUCAGCCUUAGUUACCACAAGAAGGUGAAGUUAAGUGAUUUUCUUAGUGGUAGCUCUAUACGAUAUCUGAAGUUGCGAUUUAGGUCCAAAAAGAUUUGGGUGCAGCCAGAAUGUCCGACGCAAUGUUUGGCAUCUGUUUUCCGACUAAGGUUUUUGAAUAUAGUUGAUCUUCUUGAAGGGUAUGAUCUCACCUAG